rnacentral:rRNA from 1 species
UAAUACGGAGGGUGCAAGCGUUAUCCGGAUUCACUGGGUUUAAAGGGUGCGUAGGUGGGUCUGUAAGUCCGUGGUGAAAUCUCCAAGCUUAACUUGGAAACUGCCAUGGAUACUAUAGGUCUUGAAUACCGUGGAGGUGAGCGGAAUAUGUCAUGUAGCGGUGAAAUGCUUAGAUAUGACAUAGAACACCAAUUGCGAAGGCAGCUCACUACACGAAUAUUGACACUGAGGCACGAAAGCGUGGGGAUCAAACAGGAUUAGAUACCCUGGUAGUCCACGCCCUAAACUAUGGAUACUCGACAUACGCGAUACACAGUGUGUGUCUGAGCGAAAGCAUUAAGUAUCCCACCUGGGAAGUACGAUCGCAAGAUUG